UACGGAGGAUGCGAGCGUUAUCCGGAUUUAUUGGGUUUAAAGGGAGCGCAGACGGGUCGUUAAGUCAGCUGUGAAAGCUUGGGGCUCAACCUUAAAAUUGCAGUUGAUACUGGCGUCCUUGAGUGCGGUUGAGGUGUGCGGAAUUCGUGGUGUAGCGGUGAAAUGCUUAGAUAUCACGAAGAACUCCGAUUGCGAAGGCAGCACACUAAGCCGUAACUGACGUUCAUGCUCGAAAGUGUGGGUAUCAAACAGG
rnacentral:rRNA from 1 species